rnacentral:rRNA from 1 species
CGUUAGGGGGAUCGAAGAAAACCCUCACCAGAGUAGCAAUUGGAGGGCAAGUCUGGUGCCAGCAGCCGCGGUAAUUCCAGCUCCAAUAGCGUAUAUUAAACUUGUUGCAGUUAAAAAGCUCGUAGUUGAAUUUUAGCGUGUUCGAGUUUGCCAUUCGUUUGGCUUUUUCGAGUUCGCUUUUGGGUUUUCCCUUUUUACUUUGAGAAAAUUAGAGUGUUUCAAGCAGACUUUUGUCUUGAAUACUUCAGCAUGGAAUAAUAGAGUAGGACUUUGGUUCUAUUUUGUUGGUUAUUGAACCUUAGUAAUGGUUAAUAGGAACGGUUGGGGGCAUUCGUAUUUAACUGUCAGAGGUGAAAUUCUUAGAUUUGUUAAAGACGAACUACUGCGAAAGCAUUUGCCAAGGACGUUUCCAUUAAUCAAGAACGAAAGUUAGGGGAUCGAAGAAAGC